GAUGAACGCUAGCGGCAGGCUUAAUACAUGCAAGUCGAGGGGCAGCACAGGUAGCAAUACUGGGUGGCGACCGGCAAACGGGUGCGGAACACGUACACAACUUACCUUCUGGUGGGGGAUAGCCUUUGGAAACGGAGAUUAAUACCCCAUAUUAUAUAUGAGCUGCAUGGUUCGUAUAUUAAAGAUUUAUUGCCGGAAGAUGGGUGUGCGUAUGAUUAGGUAGUUGGCGGGGUAACGGCCCACCAAGCCGACGAUCAUUAACUGGUGUGAGAGCACGACCAGUCACACGGGCACUGAGACACGGGCCCGACUCCUACGGGAGGCAGCGGUAAGGAAUAUUGGUCAAUGGACGGAAGUCUGAACCAGCCAUGCCGUGUGGAGGAUGAAGGUCCUCUGGAUUGUAAACUUCUUUUAUAGGGGGCGAAAAAAGGGAAUUCUUUCUCGUCUGACGGUACCCUAUGAAUAAGCACCGGCUAACUCCGUGCCAGCAGCCGCCGUAAAAC
rnacentral:rRNA from 1 species